rnacentral:rRNA from 1 species
UAGGGAAUCUUCUGCAAUGGACGAAAGUCUGACCGAGCAACGCCGCGUGAGUGAAGAAGGUUUUCGGAUCGUAAAACUCUGUUGUUAGAGAAGAACAAGGACGUUAGUAACUGAACGUCCACUGACGGUAUCUAACCAGAAAGCCACGGCUAACUACGUGCCAGCAGCCGCGGUAAUACGUAGGUGGCAAGCGUUGUCCGGAUUUAUUGGGCGUAAAGCGAGCGCAGGCGGUUUCUUAAGUCUGGUGUGAAAGCCCCCGGCUCAACCGGGGAGGGUCAUUGGAAACUGGGAGACUUGAGUGCAGAAGAGGAGAGUAGAAUUCCAUGUGUAGCGGUGAAAUGCGUAGAUAUAUGGAGGAACACCAGUGGCGAAGGCGGCUCUCUGGUCUGUAACUGACGCUGAGGCUCGAAAGCGUGGGGAGCAAACAGG